rnacentral:sRNA from 1 species
UCUGCGCUAGGGAUUGCAGCGACAUCCUUUUUAAAACCUUUACAAACGUUGCGCCAUUACGAGGAGGCACGACGAAGUAAUCUCUAGCUAUUAAAGAGAUUGCUUCACUACGUUUACAAUGACGUUUAAGGUAAAACGUUUUAAAAAGAUAUAGCGGAAAGCCCGACCCGAA